UACAGGUGGCCAGGAACCCAGUGGGCCCGAGAAUGUGCAUUUGUACCGGGUUCCCAAGGCAUGCGGGGCCACGGGGCUGGGACCACAGAGGCUGACUGGUGGGAUCCGGGCUGAACUCGAGGGGAGGGCCUCUGCCCCCCCGGAACCCUGGGAUGGAAGCAGCAUUUUGGAGGCUGAUUCCCAAGGAGGGGGAAGAAGGACGACACCGGGCACCCACCGCGGGCCUCGGAACAAGCGCCUGAACUUCUCCCGCCCCGGGCUUCAUCCACGCCUUCGCUGGCUUGUUUCCUCCGCACUGCACUCUGGAAGGUCGGUCCCAGAGUUAACACAGAGAGGUUCUGACUUGGGCACCGUUGGACUCUCGGGCACCCAGAAGAAGCCCCGCAUUCAGUGGGCGCUCAGUAAAUAUUUGUGGGUGGAUGAAUGAGGAGAACCAGCUGGCUGGCACUUGGGGCAGGAGCCUGUCCACUUGGGGUCUCAAAUCAUUGAAUUUUGUAGAAGGUGGACUCUUGGAAGGAUGCAUGCGUUGCUUCUGAGGCCCCCUCUGGACUUGCUGCAGAAGAUGAUGGAGACUGCAGACCACCUACCCUGUGCAUCUAAACUCAAUCAUGCAGUUCUCAGAGGGAGACCCCCCUCUUAGACCCUACUUGGUCAGGGUUGCAGCCUGGUACUGGGAGUCUCAACAGCUCUUCGGGUGAUUCUACCGUGCAGCCAGGGGUUAGAAUUAAUCUAACCCAACCCCCUCACAUUACAGAAAAGGGAGAGUGUAUGCCCGGGAUAUGCAGUGGGUGUGGCAGACCCCCUGGCCAGGCUUAGAGCCGGCUCUCAUAUGGAGCAGGCAUUCUUUCCUUACAAUUGGCCACAUCGCAUUCAGAGCUGGACCAAAGCCUACGUGACUCACAGGAUCACAGGAGCACUGUGGGAUGGUGCCUCAGGCUAGUACAGCUUCCACGCCAGCGGCUGCAGCUGAGAUCUAAGUCCUGAUUUGUGAAGUUGCAGGUCUCCUAAGUGAGAUGACACUGCAGCAAGGACUAUGUGGCUCCAAUCCACAUUCCAUUCCUAGAGCUACCAUUCCUUUGUUUCAGUAGCUUAAUAGUUAACCAUGACCUACCUUUGGUCUGUUCUACUCCUUUUGCUAGAAUGCCUUACCCUCCUUGCCUACAGCUUUGCCUGUCUCAGCUGAUAUCACCAUUGCCACAUGCAGCCCCCUACCCUAUUCUUACGCAUGCUUGUGUAAUCAAUAAAUACCGACCGUGCUGGUUGCUUGGGUUCUCCCCACAUGCUUGCCGUGGCCUAUCCCAGUUCCCCACUUUCUUUUUAAGUCUUGUUUCUCUGUCUCCUUCGCUUACCGUUGUAUUGCCUUUCAGGAGAUCGAGACUCUUGGCUGGGGUCUUCAAUACAGCCAAGGUUUAGCAUUAGAUUCUAACCCACCCCUCAUGUUAUAGAGAAGGGUCAGUGCAUGCCCGGGUUAUGCAGCUGGUCAGUUGCAGGGCUGAGUCUCAAAUCCAGGUUACCCUCUUCGCUCAGAAGGCAUCUCCAUCAUCUGUUCAGGAAAUGCAUUGAGGGCUCUUGGCUUUGAGGGAAGGAAGUUCUUCCUGAAGUUACAUCUAUUCAGUGUCUCCUUUUCCUGCCCAGAGUGGAUUUAGUUUUAAUCCUUUUACACACAUGAGCAUUGAUUUCUUUUUCUUUCUUUUUUUUUUUUUUGUACUGGGGAUCAA